rnacentral:misc_RNA from 1 species
GAUGAAGAACGCAGCGAAAUGCGAUAAGUAGUGUGAAUUGCAGAAUUCAGUGAAUCAUCGAAUCUUUGAACGCACAUUGCGCCCUUUGGUAUUCCUUAGGGCAUGCCUGUUCGAGCGUCAUUUAAACCUUCAAGCUAAGCUUGGUGUUGGGUGACUGUCCGCUUCACGGCGGACUCGCCUCAAAAUUAUUGGCGGCCGGUACAUUGGCUUCGAGCGCAGCAGAAACGCGAACUCGGGCCCGUCGUAUUGGCUCCCAGAAGCUAUCUUCACAAUUUUGACCUCGGAUCAGGUAGGGAUACCCGCUGAACUUAAGCAUAUCAAUAAGCGGUGGA